rnacentral:lncRNA from 1 species
UUUUAAAAAUUUGUUACCUCCAUGAUCUAUUACACAAAAGUAUAUUUCAUGUAAUUUGUUUAGAGAUGCUUUUAUAAUUGUCCUUUGGUCAUUUCAUAUUCUUUUCCUAAUUGUACUAUUAGCUUCUUGAAAACAGAAACCUUGUAUGUCUCAUGGAGCCCAAUCUACUAUGUACUCACAAAGCACAAAAUCAAGGAUGUUGAAAAAGAAAAAUGAAUCAAGAUUCAGAUUAGCACUUACUCUUCAAAUUUGCUUUUAAGUAGUGACUUUACUAGAGGCAACAAGUCAACACAGCAGCCAAGUGAGAUAUAUUGUUUUUCUUCCUGUAAACUAAAAUAAAUACCAAGUUAUAAAAAUAUGGAGGGGCCAUAAUUUGACCUCCUUUAAUCUUAUUUUUUUUCUGAAAAAUAUUGUUUUUACCAAUUGGUGAGCACAGGAAGGCAAUCUACCACAACGCCAAGAUCUUCUAUCCUGAGAGUAUAAAAAGAAUAGCAUUGCCUUAGAGAGCUGAUUUCCUUAUUUACUUUCAUAUUAUGAUUAUUCAUACCGCUUUUGAGAAACCUCCCAAGCUCAAGUAAUUCUCCUGCCUCACCCUCCCCGAGUAGCUGGGAUUACAGGCACCCAACACAACACCCAACUAAUUUUCCUAUUUUUAGUAGAGAUGGGGUUUUGCCAUGUUGGCCAAGCUGGUC